rnacentral:tRNA from 1 species
GGAGGGAUGGCCGAGCGGUUGAAGGCGGUAGUCUUGAAAACUACUGAUGGGGGAACCCAUCCGGGGGUUCAAAUCCCUCUCCCUCCGCCA